rnacentral:rRNA from 1 species
GACGAACGCUGGCGGCGUGCUUAACACAUGCAAGUCGAACGGAAAGGCCCUGCUUUUGUGCGGUUCUCGAGUGGCGAACGGGUGAGUAUCACGUGUGUAACCUGCCCUUGACUUUCGGAUAACUUCAGGAAACUGGGGCUAAUACCGGAUAGGAGCUCCUGCUGCGUGUGGGGGGUUGGAAAGUUUCGGCGGUUGUGGAUGGACUAGCGGCUUACCAGCUUGUUGGUCGGGUAGUGGCUUACCAAGGCUUUGACGGGUAGCCGGCCUGAGAGGGUGACCGGCGUCAAUGCGACUGAGAGAGGGCGCAGUCUGCUACGGGAGGCAGCAGGGGGGAAUAUGGCACAGUGGGCGGAAGCCUGAUGCGGAAACGCCGCGUGCGGGAUGACGUCUUUCGGGUUGUGAACCGCUGUCGCCUGUGACGAAGCGGGAGUGACGGUAAUGGGUAAAGAAGCACCGGCUAACUACGUG